ACAGGGCUCGAACCAGUAACCUAAGUCACUAGUUCCUCGAUAUUUUCCACUUGGACUAAUCCCUGAGGUUUGCAAUAUUAUAAAAACUGAGAACUGAAAAACCUAACAAAACUUUUCAAAAAUUAAGGCCGAAUUGACGGAUGUCCAAUCCUACUGCUAAUGGGCUUUAGGGCAACAUGAAAUAGGAUCAGUGUCGUAUUUAGAAAAGCAGAGAAUCUCAACAUGUAUUGGCUACACAAUUUUCGCAUGGCUGAUUCAUAGUAUGUCUUUAUGGUUUUGCUUCAUGACAGCUGAUGUAUUUAGAAAAGCAGAGAAUCUCGACAUGUAUUGGCUACACAAUUUUCGCAUGGCUGAUUCAAAGUAUGUCUUUAUGGUUUUGCUUCAUGACAACUGAAAUUAUGGGCUCAGAGAUGGAAAUAGUUGAGCAGAGGCUAAAAGCUUUUGUAGGUCAGCUCCAUACGGAGUUUGCCAUUCUUGAUCGACUCGUUUUACAAAAACAAGAACCAGCAUAGAAGAUGCU
rnacentral:lncRNA from 1 species